UGCAACUUCUUCCCUUUUUAAAAUUAUAUUUGAUUCCUCAAAAUCCUCUCACAAUUAUGAAGAAACAUCUCUUGCUUCCGUACAAAAAAAUAACACAGUCACAUACAAAGGACAGUUUCAAAAAGGUACUUCCGAAGAUUGUUUUUCAGUUUUUAUUAUCAUUCAUAGAUCUUUUUCCAUUUCCAAACCUGUAUUCUUCUGCCCCCAAUCAACACUGACUCAAAUUACAUUGCCUGAGUCGAUUUAUUGAUUUAUGUAUCACAUUCGCAGUCGCACUUCCCAACACCUACACCCAAUUUCAGUAUCCAAAGCAUUGGUUCCAAAACUCUCAUUUAUAUCUGUUCACUUUUCUGAGUGAACAGAGAUAGAGACAUUAUGUCAACAACCAUAAUGUUCCUCUUCUUCAGCAGAGCGAGGGAAUAUUCUAAAUAUAAAUGUAAUCAUGGAAACAACAAGACAAAGUCGCAGGGAAACAGCCUGACAUGAUUAAGAGUGUGAUCCACAGUCAGCCGCCCAAGUUGUCACCAGAAUCCUGUCAAGUGCAGUGUUUGUCCAAUAGGUUGUCCAAUACUGUUGCCGGUAAACCAAGCUGUGUUGUUUCAAUCGCACCACGGCUGCACAGAUGUGAAGUUUAAAGCCUGGAGAUAUUAAAAUCAUAGGCCUCAUUAAACUCAGUUAUUUAUGUUCACGCAGCAGCCCAGCCAGUCAGAUCAGAUCUCCCUGGCGGUGCGUGGUCGUGAACUGUCGUCUAAAUAACAGCAGCUGUGAGAGCCUGUCAAACCAGACCGACUGAUAUCGUGGCUAAGGAUCCCAGAUCACAGUAAAACUGUCACAGACACUUUAUCGUCUGCAUUCAGGGCUCAGGACAUUUCCACACAUCUUAAAUUUCCAUGAGAUGAGCAGCAAGAUUCACACAUCCUCAUCUUGCCAGCUUGCGACCAUACAUCCCCUCGCACAUACUUUGCUCCUCUAGACUUUCAUUUUCUCUGUUAAUGGCAAGAACUCUCGUAUCUAAUUAAAUCCUGUGCGACAGGUUCUGACACUGUUUUUGCAGUAAUAGCAAUGAGGCAUUGGCAUCGAUCUGUUUGUCUAACAGUAUUGUGCCCUGACAAACUGGUGAGAAUACUAAUACAUUGUGUAUGGACAUUCGUGGUCCCCAGGGGACGAUUCUUAGUGAGUAACUCCUUAUAAUUAUGUCCUUUGACCUUUGCUGCUGAUAUCAUCCUCAAACUUCCCCUUGAAGAACACGUUGAGACUCAACAGAAGAUGACAGCUUUUGUUUGAAUCUAUGAAACCAUUUUAUUCAUGUUUCCCCUGACAAGGACCUGCGGUGGCCAUUGGGUGCAGAGUCAGAAGUAGCAUGAUAUUGUUAUUAGCAUCACACUUCCUGUGGUGGAGGUUGGCGUGAACGGAUCAACAAACUCAGCCUGUUGUAGUCAGACUAAUACUCAAAUGCAUAUUAGUCUGGGAUUAAUUAGUCUCUGUUAAUUUACGAUUUCCGAGAGGUGUUGCCAACAGAUGCAGACCAAAAUACCAUUGAUACCAUUGAGAGCGACAAAUCAUGUGACGUCUGCCGAGCGACGAGAACACUGUCAAUUUGUUUCCCCUAAUAGAAACUUGUAGAAACUAUGGUAACGGCGUGCAAACUGGACGUUCAAGACAAACCCAUCUUCUUUUUAGUUUCUCUUCAACCGUCCCUGAAAUGCCAUCAUCAGGCCAAAAUAUCCCCGCUGCUCGCAAAAUAUCUCCAUAUCUUAGAAACGGUCCGAAUGUCACGCUUGUGCUCCCAAGAGGUUGAACCCAACAGGUUCUAGUCAUCAAACAAUCAGUUUAAGGCGAUACUACGUUCAAGGCUCGACUUUAAGACUGUCAGUCUGUAAUUUGGUCUUUUCUACACGUUUGAUAAUGUGCGAUGUAAAGAACAUUGCAGCAUCCAGAGGAGCGAUAGCCUCGGACUUCUGUUCUUGUUCUCUCAUCAUCUCCAUCUCUUCCCGUCUUCACUGUGACCUGAUACCGACACAACAUGAUCAAAUUGACGGUGAUCCAACCCACGGACAGGCGUGGCCGUGUCCCCAGUCUGCCUGCCAACACAGAGUAUAGACUGAUGUGACAGCUCCGUAGUCUGCAGCCAUCCUGGGUGGGCGAGGCCAGCCGCGGUUUAACAGGAUAAUCUCCACGACAGACUCAGUCCUUUGUUCCUCUUCAAAGGACCUUUGAACGGGAAAUACCCACCUCAGGUUUUACAGUCCGACUUAACCCCAGAACGGACAAGUCGCCUCACCAGAGACCAGUAUCCACAGCCCAUUACAGACGCUCAACGGCCGGAUGCCAUUUUCACUUUGCAGUAUUUUCUUCUUCUUCUUCUUCUUCUUCUGCCUUUGAUGCCUUUGCACGACUGAGUGUGUAUGUGUGUGUUUGUGACUCUUAUGAACACAGCAUAUGGAGGUCAGAGGGACCGAGGCCUUAACAAUACAAGUAGACAAACGCAAACCUAUCCUUUUAACAUUUGACCUGACCCCUGACCCCGAAAAACCUGACCAACAGAAAGAGAGGGAUGGACGGAGGAUGAAUUUACUGCCCCGUCGUAAUGAGGUCAAACAGGACUAAUUGUUCACAACUGUUUACAUUUGGACCGUAAAGUAAAGUAGUAGCAGUUCUCACUGAUCAGCUGACUGCAGGACAAACCUUCACUUAAAGGAGCUGUAUUAAUGUUUCUCCUAUUGCUACUUAGCUAGCGUUAGCAUUAACAGCUGUUAACUCACCAAUCGAGCAGAAACUUACUUUAAACUUUUUUCUCACAAAGAUAACAUUUUUAAAAAUUGUCUCUAUUUCUGUAACUUUUUUGAAAAGUUUGCAUCUAAGAAAGUUAGCAUGCUAACCAGCUAGCUCCAUCUUCUAAUUUUCCAAUAGCGAGUCAUUGUAGAGGCCGGAAUUUAUCUUUAACUUGUCAAGUAGUGCUAAAACUGUUUUAUACACAGACUCACGAGCAGACAUCCAUAAGGAUAUUUAUUAUAUUCAUACUUAUGUCAUUUCAUGCUUGUAUCAUUACAACUUCCACUGUUGACUUUAAUUCAUCAAAACACAAUUCAAAGUAAGUUAAAGUUAAGUAAGAAACCCAUUACUUUGAAUGUAUUCUGGACCGUGAAGCUGCACUAAUCAAUUCUCUUCAUGGCUCAUGUAGUGACGACCCACUCCUGCAGGAAGCAGUUUGAACAGAAAACGCUCUGAUGAACGUGUUCUUCUCAACCACCUGUCCAGCACCGAACCCGUCCAGACCAAGUCAACAGCAGCUGGCGAACACGGUGGAGACAUUAGUGACUGAAGACUCAACGUUUCUCAGGAACUGAGGUUCAAACUGGAGCUGAGGGAGAGUGAAGAUCAAUACAACUCCAACAAACUGUUUAUCAAGUGUUGAAACUUUAAGAUUGAGUUGUUUAAAAAAACUAUGAUUGGUUGUGUUUAAAGCCAGAAAUAAGACUUCUACCUGAACAUUUACAGAGGCUGUUCUUAUCAAAUGAUGAGGAUCACAAGGAACUAUGAUUUCAAAAGUCCAUACGCAGAUGUGUAUUUCUGUAUAUGGAGUGAAACUGUGUAGUUCUCUGGGCAAUGUUAAAAUGUUGUUCAAAUAUUUUUCAAUUAAAAAAAUAAAAAAGAACAAAUAAG